ACUCCUACGGGAGGCAGCGGUGGGGAAUUUUGGACAAUGGGGGAAACCCUGAUCCAGCAAUGCCGCGUGAGUGAAGAAGGCCUUCGGGUUGUAAAGCUCUUUUGUCAGGGAAGAAACACCGGCUCUAACACAGUCCGGGAAUGACGGUACCUGAAGAAUAAGCACCGGCUAACUACGUGCCAGCAGCCGCGGUAAUAC
rnacentral:rRNA from 1 species